rnacentral:lncRNA from 1 species
UCAAACCUUAGAACUUCUAGACAGCUGUCAAGAAAUUCAAAAGGCAGACGUUUGAGUUUUCCUCGAGCAGUGUGCAAACUGUGGGAUUAGACAUUCAUUUAUUAGCUGUAAUCAUUUUUCCCCCCAAGCGUGCUAUUUUGAGUAUUGUGUUUAACGCAUUCUGAGGUGUCGUUUUGCAUGCGUUUUUACUUAGGUAUAUAAACACUUUUCUCACAUUUCACACACUUAUCACUCUCACUCACUCUAAAACCCUAAACCCUUC